rnacentral:rRNA from 1 species
AUGAACAUUGCCCUCCUCUCCCGCUGGCUCUGGCGCAUCUCACAAGGGCAUGGCGGGCUGGGUUUAGACAUCAUCUGGAACAAAUACUUGCGUGGCCAACCUCUGGCCUUCUGCCAACGUUCGGGUGGGUCCUAGUUCUGGCAGUCGGUCAUCCAACUGCUCCCCGUCCUCCGCAUUGGGACUUCCAUUCCGGUCAGAUCGGGAGCAGCGACCCUGUUCUGGUUUGACCGAUGGGCGGGCGACGCCCCCUUCGCAGCCCGCUUCCCCGAUCUCUUCUCCAUCGUUGUCAUCCCAACGAUCUCAGUUCAACAGGCCCUUAUUGACUUAGGGCGCCUCAUGUUUCGGAGGCCAUUUGGGCCUCCGGAAGUUGCCGCCUGGCAUGAGCUGCUUGAUCGCAUUGCUCUCCAUGAGCCGUCUGUCGAUGCAGGCCCGGAUGAGGUUCGGUGGCGCCUUGAGCCUUCGCGCCAAUUCUCCACCAAGUCCCUCUACUCGGUGAUCGCCCCCUCCUCCAUCCCACCACCCCUCCAGACGGUGUUGUCCGUUCAUCUGCCCCUAAAAAUCCAGAUCUUCAUGUGGCAAUGGAUCCGCGGUCGGCUCCCGUCUGGAGUUGAGGUCCGCAAGCGCAAUGGCCCAAGGUCUGGCCUAUGCCCUCUCUGUGAUACCCCCGAAGACUCGAACCACAUCUUCUUCGCCUGCGUGUAUGCUCAGUUCAUGUGGAGCUGCUUUAGGGAGGCGGUUGGUGGAGAUUGGUGCCACUCCAACUUCCCCGACCUUUUCGCCGAACUCCAGACCUCCCCGCUGACCACUCGCCACAUUAGGUAG